CCUCCUGAUUCCUCCAUGACGUCGUUGCCCUCCCCUGAGCUCGCUUGCCCAUCGCCGGGACGAUAUUCCCGGCAUCCAUCUCCGCUAGAUUCGGUCACGUGGAGAUGAGAGACGCAGCCCUCGGCAGCCAUCUCUGGCCACGUGGAGAUGGGGGACGGCGUCGCCUUCUCCGGCCAUGUAGAGGUGGGGGCGCACCGUCCCCUCCACCAGUUGUGCCGUCCUGACCACUCAAGCAUCGUCAUCUCCUCUGACCACCUCUGCUGCUCCUAUGGAUCCAGCAUCCCCAAACCCGAGUACAUAGUCCUCGACGGCUGACGUCUCUCUCUAAUGGUGCAGCAAUGAAUUGAGAUAGAAAUCCUAGGAUCGUCUUUCCCAAAUGGAAAUCCUUCUCCAGUCACGGCGGGGUGCAUUACGUCGUGCUAGACGAACUUCUCCACCGCUGGCCUGCUAUGACCGUUGUGUCGUACCCCCAUGAGCGCAGGUGUGUUCCGUUUCGCUAGACGGACCCCUCCACUAGCAGGUUGCCGUGAGCACCGAGGUUGCUUGAUUUGAGGUUUUCUGUGUAUUGUUGAUUGGGAUGGUUAUGGCAGGAGGACGAGGUCGCCAUCCAGGAACGCACUCUCAGCCGUGUUCCUCCGAGAAGUGCUAUUGAUUCGUGUUGUUGGUUCAAGAUGAAAGAUCACGGGCAGAGUAGACUGUGAGAUAGUGGACGAGCGGGUGCUGAGAGGAAGAGGAUGGAUCAGGAGCUCGAACCCGAGGUAUUGUGAUUUUGAAAUCUGACUCAAUGCUGAUUUCGUCACAAGCCUCAUGCGGCUGAUUUGACACAAGCCUCAUCCGACGUGUUGAUUUUUACCUGGACAUGAAUUGGCACAACACUUGUGAGUCGACCAUUACUCGUUUGUUUGAACAUAUGCUGAUAAAGAGUUCAAGGCAAUGCUACUGCCAAUUUUGUUGUAUAAACAUGGUCCACUGCAAGCUCUACACUCUUGCCUUGCAAGCUCCUGGUCACAACGUCAGCAUUGAAGCUAGGGCUCAAGCUCAUCUUCGUGCCUCCAUACUUUGAGCUUGCCAAUGGGGUUCGGUAAUGCUCACCUUAGGAACAGUGAUGGAAUGAUGCAAUUCAUAUUAUAAGCUAUGUGUUUAUGACAGCUGGCAUUACCUUUGUGUGUAAGCUCUGGUUUAGGUUCAAAAAGUAUGCACAAAAGGAUUGGCGAAAAUUCAAUGUUAUCUAAACUUUGGGGAGGAGCUCUCUUGCAUGGCAACUUGAUAAGAUGGUUUGUUUGAUUUGCAGUAUUGGGAUUGCAUUAGUUUUGACUAUUGAAUUUAUUUUUCUUGUUAAGGGAUAAAUUAGAAAGCAUAUCAUUUAAUUCCCAUAAUUUUUUAUGAAUUUCUGGUAAGCUACCAAAAGUACACCACUGGCUGAAUCUAAAUGAUUUGUAGCCCAACAAGUUGAGUAGAUUAAUAUAAGUGAACCCAUUUUGGAUUGUUGGGUGCCAAUCUGCUAUUACUGAUCCUUACAUCAAAACAAGAGUAGAAUACUCAUGCAUUAGCUUUGGAUAACCAAAUGUCUUUAGUAUUAGAUUAGAUGAAUGUAUCAUUGCCAUUUAUUUUUGGAAAUUUAGUUCGUUAUAUUUUGUUAGAAUAAUCAUAUCUCCAUGUUAUGUUGGGCCCGAUGUGGUAAUAUCUCAAUUCAAUAUUUGUUUUUGCAGUCCAUGAAUCACAUUUCUGUAAAGUCCUGAGAUGAUAACCGGGCUGACUGGCUAAUCUUUGCAUCAUUCAUCCACCACGUCUAGAAGUGAGGAUAACAAAUGCAUAGGUAUCCUUCGAGGUUUCACAUGUAGUUGAGCGAUGUGCCUCUUGUGGUUUUGAUUUAUGCUUUGCUGCAUAAAUUGGAAAGUGAUGGUUGUCAGUCAUUAUUAAGUGAAAAAAUAGAUGUUAAUUAUGUUGGUUCUGGUAUGUGUUAGGAUCAACUAAGUGUAGCUAGCUAUUGUGUACUUUGUUUGAGCAAGUACUUGUGACAUUAAGUUUGUUACUUAUAUGUGCAUGUAUUUGAGGAAAGAUCAAAGUUGGGGGUGAGCAGAAACUACUUGUGUCCUCCACAGCCGGCCGGAACUGCAGACGGUAGUGUGUGAUGUAGAACAGCAAUGCAUGGUUCGCCUGUUCCCUGUGUUUCAGUUCGUCAAUUCCGUUGUCUAACGAAGGAAAAUAUGUUGAGACGACUACAGAUCCUUCCUUUCAGCUCGCCCAGACAGUGUUUGUCCGCCGACUGCUCGGCACGGGGGGUGAUUCGGUUGAAGACCAACCAAAAUCUUGGUGAUUUGAAGUUUGUAUUGUCCCUUGGUCUUUAAGGUUUGCAUCCCCAACCCUCACCCCCACCCCACCUCUUUCCUCCUCUUGCUUAUAUUUGGUGGAAUCUAGGGUUUGAAUUGAAAUCAAUAAUUUUGUUUCUUCUCCCAAAUCUUAAUAUAUGUGGAUUGUCUCUUGGCAUUUCAAGGUUUGCAUCCCCACUCUUUCCACCUCCUUUUGCUCCUAAUUGGUGGAUUCUAGGGUUUGAGUUGAAAUCAACAAUUGUG